AAAUCUUUAGUUGUUUCAGAUUCUGUCUCUAUCUUGUAGGGAAUGUUAGAGAUUAGCCCUGCUCUAGUGUUUUAAUCUCGUGUUCUGUGUUCAAUAAUGAAGAAAUUUUGUGAGUUUUCUUACUUAGUUAUGGUUGCAAUGAUGAGAUCUUAUAAUGAAAUUGAAAGUGUUUACACUUAAUGAACGGUCGACAAAAAUAGUCGAACCUGAGCGGUUAGCUGAGCAACCAUUUAUAUUUAUCUAAUUUUAAGACAAAGAUCUGUUACUAUGCUUAGUUCUAUGUCUGUUUUUUUUUUGUUGCUAUGAUGAGAAAAAAUAUUUAUAGAAAGCAUUAUUUUGAUGCUUAAUGAGUCAGCGAUUAUAAUGUCGAUCUGAGCGGUUAACUGAGCAACUUGAAAAACUAUCACAGCCUCUUAUUUCAUUUAUGUUUGGUGAAUUUGUCUUUAUAUUUUGUGAACUUUUUUGGUGAAUUUUGCAAUUGUUAUAGCUAAUUGAUUAGGAGUGACCAAUCCCGGUCUAGUGAUUAUAAACAUAUGAGAGUAAUAUAGCUGAAUAUUUGGAAGUAUUUCAUUAAGUCAGUUGAGUUUUCAUUGAUUCAUUACAUUUAAGAUUCUCUGCUAUAUUGUUGCACAAUAUGUUGUAUGGCCAGUAAUAAUGUUGAAGAAAGACAUGUUAACACUUUGAUUGUGGAGUGUGGACAGGUCCACUACCAAAGACGUCGGCAUUUCU
rnacentral:lncRNA from 1 species